rnacentral:misc_RNA from 1 species
UAUUGCCUCAGUUUGCUUUAGUGCCUUCUCUGUUUUGGCCUUGGUUGGGUUCUUCAUGAACGAGAAGAGAAAGGCCAGGAGGACUCAAGGAAAGUGAAGACAAAAACGUGAAGGGAUCAUCAUCUAGAGUAUGGCAAAGUUAGUAGUUUAAUGGGGAAAGAAAAAUUGGAUAGGGAUGCUGGAAUUAUAAUCUUCCUUGUUUAUAAGACCGAAAGAAAAAUGUUUUUAUUUGCAGCUGAUAGUAUAAAUUCAAGAACAAUGAUAGUCAUGCUCAAAUAAUGGAAGCAGAGAUUUUCUAAUGCUAAGCAUCUCAAUUUAUGUUGUGCUGGCUAAGGAAAA